rnacentral:tRNA from 1 species
UCCCUGGUGGCUCAGACGGUAAAGCAUCUGCCUACAAGGCAGGAGACACGGGUUCAAUCCCUGGGUUGGGAA